UCACACCGGCAAAACAAACAAGAGGUUCAACGAAAGAGAUCUUAAAAAUAAACACAAGAAAGACAACCCAAACUGGGAGAAAGAGUCGCACCCCUUCAACAUGCUCUUUUUGAUUUCUUUUUUCGACGAUAUUCAUCUCUUUCUGUUUUAGGUCGAGGUGAAGCAAAAAUGAGGGCAGGGGAAUGGCAUAUUGUUGUUUUUUUUGAAAGAAAAGCAGUGAAAAA
rnacentral:ribozyme from 1 species